rnacentral:lncRNA from 1 species
GUAGAACAGGAUGAAAAGUACUUGGAGAAUCUCCGAACCUCCAACACCAACCCAGAGGUGCCAGCGUGAUCCUCUGCCCUUCUGAUUGCCUUUGCGACCCCUCUUAUAUCUCCAUGGAGAAGGGCAAGUAUGUGCUGCCUCCUGUGUGAAUGUUGGAGCCCUGUAUGUUUGUCUAGAAUCCCAGCAACUGUCAAGUGUCAAUAUCAGGAUGCUGUUGGCUGAUGUGAAAGAAAGGAUGUCAAAAUUUAUUUCAAAGCUACCCCAAGCAUCCUGUACCCCGGCCCAAGCUGAGGGCCCAGUGGGCCUUGGGGCCUGGCUCCAAGGCAGGAGAAUGCUGGCUGGGCCUGUCAUUUUCAUUCAGUAACUUCGUCCAUCAGCCACUGCCUCUCUAACCCUGGACGCUCUGGUGAUCACGAGGAAGAAGGAGGCUAAGUAGUCUCAUCCACAAGAGAAUGAGCCCCAACCCAUGAGGACACACCCACGGCCAGACGUGUGUUCUCGUCUGGGGAGAGCUCUUCGUUUUGUUCUCAUUUUUUGCAUUCUCGCUGCUAGGUUCUGAAGACUCACAUCAGCGUCUAGAACACAAUGGGUCCCCUGUAAAUGUGUGUCGAAUUGCAUCAAUUAAAUCUACACCAGGCCCAGA